rnacentral:lncRNA from 1 species
CUCCUUUUGAAUUAUUAUCGCUCGCAUUCCUAUAAGUUUAGCAGAACUGCAUGGUUCAUUCACUCAUACACGAACUGUUUUAGUAAACUCAUACAAUUGAUUACAUGAAAUUAGCAUCAAUGGCUACCACUACAACUACAUCUUAUUUCAGUGUUACCUUUGUUUUCCUUGUUGCAUUGGAUCUCCUCAGCUUUCAGGUCCUGACUGCUUCAGUUUAACUUGAAGGGUGUUUAUACCAUAUUUAGGGCCUCGUAUUUAGACCUCGUAUAAAUACACGGAGGACUUAAAUGUAAUUAUGUAAUAAAGGAAGGGGCAAAUAUGUAAUUAGGGGAGGAGCCCUUAUUCUAUAAAAGGGCCUCCUCACCCUCACAAAGAAAAUGGGCCUCUUCACAUCCCCUAAGCUCUAAGCUCUCUCUCUCCCUCCUUCUUCAGUAGAGAAAUACAAUACAAUCAGUGUGGACGUAACCCAAACCUUGGGUGAACCACGAUACAUCUUGUAUUAUUUACAUUACUUGCAGAUUCACGGUCGGAUUUACGUUAUUCCAAGACCAUCUGGUUUUGUGCAUCAACAUUUGGCGCCGUCUGUGGGAAACGACACAAAAAGUUAUGUCGGUUCUUUCUUAAUUUUUCACCUCCACCGUAGAUCUGUAAAAUCCAAGAGACAACCAAAACUCUCUCUGCCAACAUCAAAAGCCAACAUCUCAAAUUGUUGAUUGAUUCAAACGCCCCAACUAAAACAUGAAAAUUCACCAAAACAUUUUUCAGUUUUUAUGACGAUUUCAGAUCCCAGUCCAAGUGUUUGAUUUAGUAUUGGGAUUUGAAAAUGGCAGCAAGACAAAUGGAAGAGAUACAGAGGAAGCUGGCGCUGCUAAAUCAUCCUAGGGCCACUGCAGUUGCUCGGUCUCUCAUUUUCGCUGGCAUGGAGCCCUACGCCCUUCUCGAGUGGCUCUUCUUCGGCCUGCUGGGGGACAUGUCGCCAUUCUCUCAACAAAAUCUUCAAGGGGAUGCCAACAAAGAGAUCCCUCGAACCCAGUGGGCGAGGAAGCUAUGAACAUCGCACUGAAUCCUUGUGCCGUAUUUCUUCCCAAAAAUUCCGAUCAACUCCCCAUGACUUCUCCCAGAAAAAAGCCCAUUAUCAAAACCUGGAAAUCGCCAGUCCGCCGAUGCAGCCGCAGUCCAAUCGUCGUCCCUUCGCUACCCUUCGAGCGAGAUCCCUACCUCCAGAGCCCAGCGUCUAAUCGGGAUUGCCACUAGUACUAGAGUUAUUGGAUUCUCCGUCUUCUACAUUUUUCUGCAGAUCCAAAACCCUUCGAACCACGAAGGUCGUUGUCAGCGGAGACCAGCGACGGAGAGCACGAAGUGGAGCUGCUGGGUUUUCUCUCGGACCUUUCUUCUUCCCUAUUAUUUUCCGGGAAAAAUGUCAGAAAGCCCUCAGAAAAAUGCGCCGUGCUUUUUCGAGUGGCAGCAGCAGCAGGGUUAGACAUCUACCUAGAGGCUCAACAAUAGAGCUAAUUCAUACCUUGAGGAGGCAACUGGGAACUCAUACGAAACUCUAUUUUUUAUGGGAAGCAGGCUCUGCCGUUGCAGGGUGACAGCUGGUGGGCCGAAAGCACGAACCAGAACGGAUGGUAUGAUGUCGGUGCCAACGAUGCCUUACAGUUCUCAUUUGGCACUGCUGUGUGCACUGAGGACGCCCUCAACUAGGGCCCCGGUGGUGGAGAGAUGACGGUAUUGGAGAGAUGUCGUUCCUGACCAAAAGUAUGGUGAGCGGCAGAAGCAAUAAAGGCUAUUACAGAAAGCACAUAGGCCUAAUGUGGGAGAAUAUUAUGGAGCCUUGGAGGUGGACUCGUGGACCAUGCUGCAGAAAAAGAAAACCAGAAACCAAGCCGAAAGAGAAAGGCAGUGGCGGACAAAACAAAAGGAAAAGAGAAAGAAAAGGGAAAGAAAAAGCAAAAGCAAGUAAGUGUUUAGAGAUGGAGAGAUCAAAGAAAAAAACAGAAAAGAAAAAAGAUCAUGUCGUUGGGAGAAUAUUUCAGAAAGUAGAAAAGAGGAAAGCAAAAGGGAUGUACAUGGGAACACUGCAAAAACAAGGAGUAAACAUCCCACCAAAAUGAUGUAAUUUAUUUUUCUCAUCUUUUGGAGACAUCUGUAUAAACCUCAUCAGAGGGAAAUAUGUAUAAACCCCAUCAGAGGGUAAUAAUAAAAAAUAAAAUAAAUAAAUAAAUAAAAAACCGCAAAGCCCAAAAUAAAUAGGCUGGAAUGUUGUGUAGAGGGCGAAUGCCCAUAAGCCCAAAACAGCUCUAAUCAGGCGAUCAAAAGUACGCCCAAUACUCCAAAAUUAUUAGGCAACCCGCCGCUAUUACUACCAACCAGGUGAUGAAAUGUACAACUCGUACUCUAAUAUCAUUUGGCAACUAGCCAUUCAUGCCACCAACCAGGUGAUGAAAUGUACAACCCGUACUCUCUCAUGCCACCAACCAGGUGAUCAAAAGUACGCCCAGUACUUCAAAUUAUACAUGAGCAUUACUCAUGUCAUUCAUAAACAUUCAUGAGCAUCACUCAUGACAAUCAUACAUAAACAUUCAUGACCAUCAUUCAUGUCAACAUUCAUGACCAUCAUUCAUGUCAACAUUCAUGAGCAUCACUCAUGUUAACAUUCAUAAGCAUCACUCAUGUCAACAUCCAUAAGCAUCACUCAUGUCAAUCAAACAUUCAUGAGCAUCACUCAUGACAAUUAGCUUCAAAAGCUUCAUUUACAGAGCUCCAGCUUCAAAGCUUCACUUACAAAAGCUUCACCUACAAAGCUUCAGUGCAGGGUAUACAAAUACCGCCUCCGAACAACCGCCAUUUCGGCCCAUACACGGAUUCAAUUUGAAGUCUCCAGCCAACAGACUAUAUUGACCGAAGACUUGGGGGACUACAUUAUGUACCAAAUAUUGGGCCUCAACUGGGCCUCAUGAAAAAUACUUGGGGGACUUAGCCCAUUAUUUAUGUAUUAAGGAACGAGCCCUUAUUCUAUAAAAGGGACUCACUCACUUUCAUUAGAGAGCACCCAUUAUUCAUGUACUGAGGAGCGAACCCUUAUUUUAUAAAAGGGACUCCCUAACCAUCAUUAGAAAGCAUCAACUCUAGCCCAUCAUUCAUGUAUUGAGGAGCGAGCCCUAGUUCUAUAAAAGGGACUCCAUCAGCUUCAAACGCUACAAGCCGAGCCAACCAAGGCAACAUAAGCCACGAGCCGAGCAGCCGAGCAGCGUGUGCUACUUCUAGUUGAGCGUCAUUUCAGAUUGAGUACUGCCUCAUAUCGAGCAUCAGUUCAAGACAACAUCUAGUUACUUCGGCCCACACAUGAACUGAAUUUCAAGUCUCCAGCCAAAAGACUCUCUUGACUGAAGACUUGGGGGACUACUGUUUAUACCAUAUUUAGGGCAAAUAUGUAAUUAGGGGAGGAACCCUUAUUCUAUAAAAGGGCAUCCUCACCCUCACAAAGAAAAGGGCCUCUUCACAUCCCCUAAGCUCUAAGCUCUCUCUCUCCCUCCCUCUUCAGCAGAGAAAUACAAUACAAUCAGUGUGGACGUAACCCAAACCUUGGGUGAACCACGAUACAUCUUGUGUUAAUUACAUUACUUGCAGAUUCACGGUCGGAUUUACGUUGUUCCAAGACCAUCUGGUUUUGUGCAUCAACA